ensembl:lncRNA
GGAGAAACAGGAAGUGUCCCCUUUUCCCCUCCACUCUUCCUCCAGCGGCACAAUGUGAUCCACCAGCAAGGAGGGACGCCAAUAAGGCAUCCAAUAAGAUAAGUCUUAUAAAAUAUAUAGAUUUAUGAUAAUUAAGACUGAGCUAACAGAUGAGAAAUCCUAGUCAUUGGCCAAGCAGCUUUGUACCUAAUAUGUUUCUGUAUUAUUUUGUCCAUCCACGUGGUUAAGCUCGGCGGCUUUUGGCAGAAAGAUUUAUCGUAGCAUCCAGCUGUCUUAGGAAAAAUAUUAUAAGAUUCCAGAAUUGAGGUGCAGUCUAACCUGACUGUUUUCUUAAACCAUUCCAAAUAAGACCAGUUGUUUCAGGAUCUGCUGUGUUUUAGUGAAAGAAGUUCCAACUAUUUGCCCCUUAACCUUGAUUCACCUUUGCCAUACUUUAUUAUGAAUUUUUCAGUUUUGUAUCAAAAAGUGGAAGAAGAACAAAUAGCCAAAAAAUGACAGUUUUUUAAGACUGAAUUUAGAGCAAUAUUAGAUUCCCUAAAAAAAUUGACUGAUGGUGUAAAUAUUUCCCACACAGUAACUUUUAUUUGGAGACUGACCAAUAUCUCAUUCUGGCUUAGAACUCAUGGUCUUCCUUUGUCAACUUUCUGAGAGAUGGUGUUACAAGUAUACACUAUUGAGACUAGAAGCUAUUUUAAUCAUGUACUAUGAUCUAGGCAUUGUUAUAAGGCCACAAUGUCUAUAUAUCAUGUAAACUAGACAAUAACCUUGUGAGACAGGUGUGUUAAACAGUUAUUUUAUAGACAAAUCAACUGGGGCCCAGAGGCAAAAUAACUUUCCCAAUAAUAUAGCUAAAUAUGGCAUUGUUCUAUAUAGUGGCAGAAAGUUUUUUUUUUAGCUAUGACACAGUAUUUAAAAAGACAAGGAAACAAAAUUUAUCAUAAGCACAUUUAUUCUUGCAAAUGAUUAUCUACUGAAAAUGACUGGAACAUCUCUCCUCUUGUUUAAUACCAUUUGGAUUCUAGAAGCUUUUGAAGGCAGCACUUGUACUGGUAAAAUAUAAUUGUUCAUGAAACUGACAACCACGUAACUUUUAUGUAUUUCUUUGUAAUGACUCGGAGUCUCUGUGCAUUUCCUUCAUUAUCUGUCAUGUGGGCUCGUGACAAGGGAGCAGCCAUUUUUUGAAGAGGCUCCACUAAAUAUUUGUAUCUCCCAUUUAACCUUCUUUUGACAAUCAGAUAAUUCUUUCUCAAAUCAGUCUCUUAUAGAGCAUGCCUGUUUUCUCAAAGACAGAGAAUCCAUCUUAAUGAUUUUUGUGUUCAAAUAUCUGAGCAGCCCUAAAAUCUCUAGAUAUUUGAUGAAUGCUUGACGAUGAGUGAUUACAUCAUCACCCAGAGGAUCUCAAGGGGAGUGUUUGAGAAAGUAGAGGGGAAAAGCUGAGAGUCAACGAAUGUAUUUUCUGAACAAGUUGGCAGCUGUGUGAGAGGAGAGUUAAGAACCUGGCUCACUGUUGCAUCCUUUCUGGUACUUCUAGGCCACCACAUUUCCACUAAAGAAAGCUGAGGCACCCAGGCUAAGUUUUCACAGGAUUCUAAUCCUUAGCAUUGUUUUGUAUUUGCAAGAUCUGCAUCAAUCUAAACAGAAUCUUCAGGGAUUCCCCAAAACCCAAAUAAGAAAUAUGGGGACCUUAUAGAGACCAGUAGAGUCCACAGUGCAUCAUCCUGCAUCAGCCAGGGAGGCUGGUACAGGAGAGGGAGAGCUGAGGACCUGGAAAGAAGCUGUAUGCAAAGGAUAUCUUGAGAUGUUGAAGACUCUUCGGAUUAUGAUGGAGGGAGCCAACCCAGUGUCCUCAGUGUUAAAUAUUAUCCAGCAGACCAUUUGGAGAGUGUGGGAUAGGGCAGUUCCCAGAAGGAUGGCCAAUCUGUGACCUGCACAGAUUGAGCAUAUGGCUCUAGAUCAUACAGCUUAAAACUGCAUGCAAAUGACUUGCUAAUCUGCAAAACUUGUGUACUUGUUUCAACUUUCCAGAUGAGGAAAUUGAGAUUAAGUGAUGUUGUGACUAAACACAGGGUUAAUAGAUAAGGUAGUUGUGGUUAGCUUUCAUGUCUAAUCCCAGAGCUAGUACCCUUGGCCAGCACACCACACCUCCUGUGAGAACAUUCUCCUCUGCACAACUGCACUUCUUCAUUGUUCUGUUCACUUGAGAGGAGAAGGCUGAUUCCUCCCUUUCUUGGGCAUUGACCUCCUAGACUCCUUACAGCACCUUUCCUCUACAGCUUGUCUUCCUCUCCACCUCUCUUCUCUGCUGUUUUUCAACAGUUUUCUCUUUUCACACCCCAUUAAACUCCCUCUCUGCUCCUCUUCUUAUUUCUCCUCUGAACUUCCCCAUCUGUUCUUGAGCUCAGGCCUCUCUUAAUUUUUCUGAAACCUUCCCUCUUCCCAAAUGCUCUCUCUACAUCUCCAUGUCAUAAGUUCCCUACUCUCAAUAUUCCAAUAUGCAUUUCUCCUACAUGUUGCCUCUCCAUUUCUUGAGUUCUUUAUCCAUCCCUCUCUUCCCCAUGUCUCUAGCAUAUUCUAUUCUUUAGAGUCUCCAAGUUUCACAACUUCCCUUCCCUCUAUCACUCAACCUUCUGUUUGCAAAACCUUCCUCCACAUAUUUUACUACUGGUCCACUUGCAUUCUUUUGCUUUCUUGCCACCUAGCGCUCCUGUUUCUUCAACCAUGAGACCAUCAUAACAUAUAAAUUUUACAUGUUUUUUAUAAAGAUCACCAAAGUGCUCCUCAUCUUUCCCGUAUAUUUCUUUGACUGUUGUCUUCACCCUUUCCCCAUUCUGAUUUGCCAGCCCAUCCCCCAACCUAAUUUCUCUUGACUUACACUAUAAACUUUCCCUUAAUAUCUUCUUUUUCAUUCUUUUUCAAUUGUCUUAUAACCCCCAAGUCUCCCAGGAGGCCACUAGCCCUUCAUGGGCACUAUCUGCUGAUAUCUAACACAUUAGAUAAAAUGGAGAAGGAAUUUCCUUCUGUGUAUUGGGAGAGGUAAAGCCUAGGAACAAGUUCUUGAUCAGGAGCAAAAAUAACAAAUACAUUUAUAUUUCUUUUUCUUCUCCAGACCUUCUCAUAAAUUUUCCAAAUGCAGAAUAUCAAUUAAAUCUCACACCUAUUCUUUUAAUAUAAAACAUCACUGAAUUGUUUUACUGAUGAAAGCAAAUGCUAUAUCAGACAUGGAGGCUGAGGAGAGCAUGGCUUGCCUUGUAAGCAUCUUCCUGACUCCCCUGCCUUUGGAGUUCUAAGAACCAGUUAGAAUAAGAGCAAUUGAAGUUGUAUACCAUCCAUCAGGACUCUAGGACAAUUUCUGAGAAGGCAAACCUUUGGAGAGUUAAAGGCAUAAGAAGAAUAUGUUCAGAAUAUAUUGCAUGAAAAAAUUUAAUCAGAACAAAAUCACAAUGGUAGAAGAAAAUUAGUGUGCCUUGCAUGCUGAAAUUAUAACUUAAGAGCCUUCAUCCAGUAGCUGAUGGAAACAGAAGCAGAGACCCACAGCUAAACACUGAACUGAACUCCUGGAAUCCAGUUGCAGAUAGGGAGGAGUGAUGAGCAAACUGGUCAAGACCAGGCUGGUGAAACCCACAGAACCAGCUGACCUGAACAAGGAAGAGCACAUGGAUCCCAGACUGAUAUCUGGGAAACCAGCAAAGAACUGAUUCCAGACUCCCUGAAUGUUGGUGUCAGUGAGGAGACCUUGGCAAUCUAUGGAGCCUCUGGUAGUGGAUCAGUAUUUAUCCCUAGCAUAUGAAUGCACUUUGGGAGCCCAUUCCACAUAGAAGGAUAUUCUCUCAGCCUAGACACAUGGGGGAGGGCCUAGGCCCUGCUCCAAAGGAUAUGACAGACUCUGAUGAUCCCCAAUGGAAGACCUCACCCUCCCUGGGGAGCAGGAAGAGGAUGGAAUGGGGGUUAGUGGGGGGCAGGAGAGGAGGGGGGAGAGGGAACUGGGAUUGACAUGUAAAACAAGCUUGUUUCUAAUUUAAAUAAAAAAUAGAAAAAAAAUAAAAUUAAAAUAAAAAAAAAUAUGUAUACUGGC